rnacentral:rRNA from 1 species
UACGAAGGGGGCUAGCGUUGCUCGGAAUUACUGGGCGUAAAGGGCUCGUAGGCGGCCAACUAAGUCCGACGUGAAAUCCCAAAGCUUAACUUUGGAACUGCGUCGGAUACUGGAUGGCUUGAAUUCGGGAGAGGGAUGCAGAAUUCCAGGUGUAGCGGUGAAAUGCGUAGAUAUCUGGAGGAAUACCGGUGGCGAAGGCGGCAUCCUGGACCGACAUUGACGCUGAGGAGCGAAAGCUAGGGGAGCAAACGGG